AGCUUGCUCCCAUUUCUCAGCGGCGGACGGGUGAGUAACACGUGGGCAACCUGCCCUGCAGACUGGGAUAACUCCGGGAAACCGGAGCUAAUACCGGGUAAUACAUAGCAUCGCAUGAUGCAACGUUGAAAGUUGGCUUUCGAGCUAACACUGUAGGAUGGGCCCGCGGCGCAUUAGCUAGUUGGUAAGGUAACGGCUUACCAAGGCCACGAUGCGUAGCCAACCUGAGAGGGUGAUCGGCCACACUGGGACUGAGACACGGCCCAAACUCCUACGGGAGGCAGCAGUAGGGAAUCUUCCGCAAUGGACGAAAGUCUGACGGAGCAACGCCCCGUGAGUGACGAAGGCCUUCGGGUCGUAAAGCUCUGUUGUUAGGGAAGAACAAGUACCGUUCGAAUAGGGCGGUACCUUGACGGUACCUAACCAGAAAGCCACGGCUAACUACGUGCCAGCAGCCGCGGUAAUACGUAGGUGGCAAGCGUUGUCCGGAAUUAUUGGGCGUAAAGCGCGCGCAGGCGGUCUCUUAAGUCUGAUGUGAAAGCCCACGGCUCAACCGUGGAGGGCCAUUGGAAACUGGGGGACUUGAGUGCAGAAAAGGAGAGUGGAAUUCCACGUGUAGCGGUGAAAUGCGUAGAUAUGUGGAGGAACACCAGUGGCGAAGGCGGCUCUCUGGUCUGUAACUGACGCUGAGGCGCGAAAGCGUGGGGAGCGAACAGGAUUAGAUACCCUGGUAGUCCACGCCGUAAACGAUGAGUGCUAGGUGUUGGGGGGGUUCCACCCUCAGUGCUGAAGUUAACACAUUAAGCACUCCGCCCGGGGGAGUACGACCGCAAGGGUUGAAACUCAAAGGA
rnacentral:rRNA from 1 species